rnacentral:rRNA from 1 species
GACGAACGCUGGCGGCGUGCCUAAUACAUGCAAGUUGAGCGAUGAAGAUUGGUGCUUGCACCAAUUUGAAGAGCAGCGAACGGGUGAGUAACGCGUGGGGAAUCUGCCUUUGAGCGGGGGACAACAUUUGGAAACGAAUGCUAAUACCGCAUAACAACUUUAAACAUAAGUUUUAAGUUUGAAAGAUGCAAUUGCAUCACUCAAAGAUGAUCCCGCGUUGUAUUAGCUAGUUGGUGAGGUAAAGGCUCACCAAGGCGAUGAUACAUAGCCGACCUGAGAAGGUGAACGGCCACAAUGGGACUGAGAAACGGCCCAAACUCCUACGGGAGGCAGCAGGAGGGAAUCUUCGGCAAUGGACGAAAGGCUGACCGAACAACGCCGCGUGGGUGAAGAAGGUUUUCGGAUCGUAAAACUCUGUUGGUAAAGAAGAACGAUGGUGAGAGUGGAAAGCGCAUCAAGUGACGGUAACUACCCAGAAAGGGACGGCUAACUACGUG